AUUGAACGCUGGCGGCAUGCCUUACACAUGCAAGUCGAACGGUAACAGGUUAAGCUGACGAGUGGCGAACGGGUGAGUAAUAUAUCGGAACGUGCCCAGUCGUGGGGGAUAACUGCUCGAAAGAGCAGCUAAUACCGCAUACGACCUGAGGGUGAAAGCGGGGGAUCGCAAGACCUCGCGCGAUUGGAGCGGCCGAGAUCAGAUUAGGUAGUUGGUGGGGUAAGAGCCCACCAAGCCAACGAUCUGUAGCGGGUCUGAGAGGACGACCAGCCACACUGGGACGGAGACACGGCCCAGACUCCUACGGAGGGCAGCAGUGGGGAAUUUUGGACAAUGGGCGCAAGCCUGAUCCAGCCAUGCCGCGUGCGGGAAGAAGGCCUUCGGGUUGUAACCCGCUUUUGUCAGGGAAGAAAAGGUCCUGGUUAAUACCUGGGACUCAUGGCGGUACCUGAAGAAUAAGCACCGGCUAACUACGUGCCAGCAGCCGCCGUAA
rnacentral:rRNA from 1 species